rfam:Schistosoma rodhaini strain Burundi genome assembly, scaffold: SROB_scaffold0001241
GUUCUGCUAAGGAGUCCCACCAUAGAACGAAACGGCCGUCCAGUAC